AGUGAACGCUGGCGGUAGGCCUAACACAUGCAAGUCGAACGGAAGCGCAGUAAGCGCUUGCUCUUACGGGUGGCGAGUGGCGGACGGGUGAGGAAUACAUCGGAAUCUACUUUUUCGUGGGGGAUAACGUAGGGAAACUUACGCUAAUACCGCAUACUACCUACGGGUGAAAGCAGGAGAUCUUCGCACCUUUCCCAAUUGAAUUAGCUGAUGUCGGAUUAGCUAGUUGGCGGGGUAAAGGCCCACCAAGGCGACGAUCCGUAGCUGGUCUGAGAGGAUGAUCGGCCACACUGGAACUGAGACACGGUCCAGACUCCUACGGGAGGCAGCAGUAGGGAAUAUUGGACAAUGGGCGAAAGCCUGAUCCAGCCAUACCGCGUGAGUGAAGAAGGCCUUCGGGUUGUAAAGCUCUUUUGUUGGGAAAGAAAAGCAGUAGGUGAAUACCUCGAUGUUCUGACGGUACCCAAAGAAUAAGCACCGGCUAACUUCGUG
rnacentral:rRNA from 1 species